UCGUCCUGCAAGGGCAGUGGAUGCGCCUGUGUACCAGUGCCACGGAGAGUGAGGUGGCCCGGGGCAAAAACAUCCUCAGAAAUGCCCUGGUAUCUCAUCUAGAUGGCACUACUCCUGUGUGUGAGGACAUCGGACGCAGCCUCCUGACCUAUGGCCGCCGCAUCCCCCUGGCUGAAUGGGAAAGCCGGAUUGCGGGGGUGGAUGCCAGUGUGGUACGUGAGAUCUGCUCCAAGUACAUCUAUGACCAGUGCCCAGCAGUGGCUGGAUAUGGCCCCAUUGAGCAGCUCCCAGACUACAACCGGAUCCGUAGCGGCAUGUUCUGGCUGCGCUUCUAGGCAGGAAGCCUGUGCAGGCAAGAGGGCG
rnacentral:misc_RNA from 1 species